GUAAUAUGGUCAAGUAAUGAAGUGCAAACGGUGGAUGCCUUGGCAGCUAGAGGCGAUGAAGGACGUAGUAACUUGCGAUAAGCUUCGGGGAGUCGGUAACAGGCUUUGAUCCGGAGAUUUCCGAAUGGGAAAACCCACCUAGGAUAACCUAGGUAUCUGUAUCUGAAUACAUAGGAUAUAGAGGCAAACGAGGAGAACUGAAACAUCUUAGUAACCUCAGGAAUAGAAAUCAAUUGAGAUUCCGAUAGUAGCGGCGAGCGAAAUCGGAUCAGCCAGCAAUCUUUAUCAUAGAGAUUAGGGGAAUGGCCUGGAAAGGCCUGUCGUAGAAGGUGAUAACCCUGUACCCGAAAAUUUUUAUGAAGAACUAAGUUUGCGAUAAGUAGGUCGGGACACGAGACAUCUUGACUGAAGAUGGGGGGACCAUCCUCCAAGGCUAAAUACUCCUAGCUGACCGAUAGUGAACCAGUACCGUGAGGGAAAGGCGAAAAGAACCCCGG
rnacentral:rRNA from 1 species